CACAGUGGCCUUUUAAAAUCUAAACCCAGAGGGAAUAAUUCUGAGACUGUGUCAUGAAUUUGGAGUACAUGCCAUAUCUGGACUCAAAUACCAGUUUCUGGCUCUGACUCUGUUCUCCCUUGUUGAGAAGGAAUGUCACUGAGGCCUUUGCAGUUUUUCACAGAAAAUGCAAGAGUCACUGUUUAGGUAUAUAAAUAGCCCAAAUAACAAAUAUAAUGAUGCAUUUGGAGCUGGAUUUUCACAAGGAUUCAUGAGAUCACACAUAUUUUCCCCAAAGCUGAUGAAUUACAGGUUACUUCUUGGAGCUGGAGAGCAGAAGUGAAGAAGAGGAGCCGGUCCAAAUGGCACAAAAGGCACACAAUUUGAAGUGGUGUGGUGUGACUCUGCGUGGGUUAAAGCCUUCUGGGAUUGUAUGGUGACACUCAGUAUACCAUGGCCAUCUCAACUGCGACAGGAUACAGAGUAAGG